GGCUCCAUAGCUCAGUGGACAGAGCGCUGGUCUACGAAACCAGAGGUCGCGGAGUUCGAUCCUCGCUGGAGUCG
rfam:Astyanax mexicanus chromosome 21, whole genome shotgun sequence.